UUUUGUAUUAACAAUCCAAUUACAACAAUGUGGAGUUUUUUGAUUAAUGUAUAUGUAUCUUUUUUAACAGUUGGUGUCCUAUUUAUCUUGGGGUUAUUAUUAUAUCCAAUUUGUUUGUCCAAAUAUAUAUUGCAUGUUCACAACAUUGUAAGUGUAUAUAUCAGAAUAUGGAAGGAUCUCAACCGGUACCUAGCAUGGAGGAUAGUGGAAAGGGAAGCAGUAAAACCCGAUGGUUACUUGAUAUGGAUAAUGUGUGUAUUCGCACAUUGCUAGAUCAACUUUCUCUAGGUAACAAAGGUGACAAUGGUUGGAAAUCAGCUGCCUUCACCAAAGUACGAGAACAUAUGAAAGACUUGUUAGGCAUAACAAUUUCUAACGAGAGUGUGAAAGAUCGUCUUAGAACAUGGAGGAAAUACUACAUAGAUUUUAGGCAUCUUGAUGAUCAAAGUCGAUUGGGAUACGAUCCUCCGUCUCAAACAGUUUAGGCUCCCGACUCAGUUUGGGCAGAGUAUAUUUCGCAUCAUCCCAAGUACGCUAAGUAUCGAGGGAAGAAAAUAGAAUACUUUGAUGAGAUUGCAAUGACUGUUGGCAGUGAUACGACGAAUGGGUAAGAAGCACAAACAGUUGCAGUUGCUGAAAAUGUUGCUGAAAAUAAUGUUAAUACACCAAACACAGAACCCCUUGGUGGUGAGUUUAUGGGUGCUGCUGACACGACACAAAAUGAAAACACGGCAGAGAAUCAAAGCAGUCCAGCUUCAGAUCCCUCCCCGUCUACUUCCAAAACGAAUAACUUGUUGAAGAGGAAGAGAAGAAAUAGAGAUAAAGCGGUAAGUAAAGAAGAAUCAAUGAGUCAGAUGGCAGCUGGAAUUACUAAUAUCGCGAACCACAUGAUGGAAAGAGAUAAAAAUCCUGACAUGGUUAGUUUAUUUUCCAAAUUACGGGAACUUCCACGUAUUAGUUCAAGUAUACGGUGAAGCUUGUCGAGUUUCUUGUGAAUGAUGCCACGAAAGCAAAUAUGUUUUUAUGAUGAAUGAAACUGAGCAGUUAGAAUGGUGUGAUAUUCGGUUUGGUUUAGAAGAAAUAGCCGGUCGUAUUUUUUGAGAUGGUGGAGUAAGUAUAUAUGUAAUAUGUUUUUCUGUUUUUAGGCGACCGGUAAAGCAUGGAUGCUGCGAAUAUGGUAUGUUUCUGUCUUAAUUAUUAGUAAAUUAUUCUAUACACAUUCACACUUUAACUGAUAACUUAUAAUUCUUCCCCUUUUAUCACGAAUCUUAACUUACAGAUAAUCAUUUUACUAGGCUGUAAUGUCAGUGGGGACACGUUUUGUUGAUAUGGUGCUCACUGGAGCAAUUAUGCUGAUUAGUUGCAGAAAUGGCAACACACUUUUUGGAGAAGUUUUCACUUACUUCUUUACAUAUAUAUAUAUACACUUAGUAUAGAUAGAUAGAUGGCGGUUUUUUCCUAUAUAUUUAACGUAAGACCUACUGAAAUCAACAAUGUGUCUGUUUUGAUACUAAAUUUUGUAAGAAUGUUUUCGUCUUGCGACUUCUUAUAGUUAUAUAAUGCUUGCAGGUGACAACAUAAAUUCUGAUGGUGGGAAAUUAUGGAGACUAGGGGAUACAAGAUGGUUCUGGAGGAUCAAAAAACGCGUCCUGUGGUCAUUAAGUUUUUGCUUAGUAGUUGUAAAUGAUAGGUAUUUUUCUAUAUUUUGGAACUGUUGUCAUGUGGGUGGAUUAACUUGAUGGUGCACGAAGGUGAAGACUUUGAACAUGGAAGUAUUACUUUUUCCCCUACACUUUUGUACAAGGAGUUGGAACUCACACACUUUUAUGUAUCUAUUUGAUCUUUAGGUAAUAUAUUUGGAUUAUUAAAAAACAAAGUCAUUUGGUUUUUUUUCU